rnacentral:rRNA from 1 species
CCUACGGGAGGCAGCAGUGAGGAAUAUUGGUCAAUGGCCGGAAGGCUGAACCAGCCAUGCCGCGUGAAGGUCAGUGCCCUAUGGGCGUUAAACUUCUUUUGUGCGGGAGCAAUAAUGGUCACGUGUGGCCAGACGAGAGUACCGUACGAAUAAGCAUCGGCUAACUCCGUUCCAGCAGCCGCGGUAAUACGGGGGAUGCAAGCGUUAUCCGGAUUUAUUGGGUUUAAAGGGUGCGUAGGCUGUGAGGUAAGUCAGCGGUGAAAUGCCCCCGCUCAACGGGGUGAAGUGCCAUUGAUACUGCCUGGCUGGAAUGCGGAUGCCGUGGGAGGAAUGUGUGGUGUAGCGGUGAAAUGCAUAGAUAUCACACAGAACACCGAUUGCGAAGGCAUCUCACGAAGCCGCGAUUGACGCUGAUGCACGAAAGCGUGGGUAUCAAACAGGAUUAGAUACCCGGGUAGUC